rnacentral:misc_RNA from 1 species
GUAUAAGGUUUAUAGGCACAAGGCCCAAUGAUACAUUCUGUUACAUACAAUGGGGUAUAUGAAAAACAUAGACCUGGAAUUGCAAAGAAAGCCAGCUAAGUACUAGCAGUCCUCACGACCGAGUUGCCUCGGAUAAUCAAUUCCAAAUCUACAAGAGGUGCACAGGUGGAGAGAUGAGGAUGGUAGGUGUGCACAUGCCUCCAAGAAGGCCAGCGACAACCACACCAAAUUCAUUCAAUAAUGAUCCUUCCGCAGGUUCACCUACGGAAA